rnacentral:lncRNA from 1 species
GAUUCCUGACAACACUGUUGGCUUCCCGGAGACUCCUUCAUCCUGCAGAAGAUGCAAUUCCACGGGGUCCUGAGAGAUUGGACAUGGGUGGGAUGUGGCAGUCCUCAUGGAAGACUCUUGAACAAGUGUCGCAACAGAACAGCUCCCCUCCGUCCCGGCACACCUCACACUCAUCCAAGUUUCUCAUCUAGAAGACAUCUGGCUGUGGGCUGUGAGACAUAAACCUCCAUGUCAAGCUCAUACAAAAUCAGCCACGCAAACACUGACCUCCAGGGCUGUUUUAACCAUUCGUGAGUCCCUGAGUUGGCCGGGCAUCAAAAUCAGUGUGGAAAAGACCUAAAUCUGAUUGGAGGACUGCUUUGGAGGUAAGGUUCUCAUUCACACCCAGUCUUCGAAAAACCAUCACCUUGUCCUGAAUCUACACUGCACUUAACCUAUUUGUUUGUUGCGUUCUUAAGUGAAGGAAAAAUCACUUUCACAGAUAAAAAGCAGGUCUGCACAGUCCCUCUGGUAGAACCAAAGAGGUGGCAUCAACAUAAAAGAUUUUCCUGGUCAGCUCCUCCUGUAAAAUACGUUUGCCUCUGGAGAUCUUCCUCCCCAAUGGCACCAUCUUGACAAAGGUAAAUAAUUUCCCAUUGAGAAAGAAUUCUGUGUAUCUGUGUGUACAUUUUUUUGGAAGGUGAAAGAGGAUGUGAAAGAUCAGAAAAGAAAUAUUAUUUUUAUUACCUAUUUCAUGAAAUGAUAUAUGGUUUCAUACAUGUCUCAAGUGACUGUGAGGAGACGUUUGCUCUAUCAAUUUCACAAAAGUUAGAAAAUAAUAACAUCAAUGAAAAAAAUCUGAUUUUGAGUUGGAGAUGAUACUCUCACCUUAUUAUGAAAUAUUUUUAUGUAUUCCAUGACCGUGUUGGAUUUUCCAACUUUGACACUCUUACAACAUCUGUAUCUAUUGCUGAAACACAUUCAGGAGGUUUGUUUUGAGGGCUCCUCAGCAUCUCCAUCUGAUACGGUUUAAUCCAAAGAGGACCUAGCUUUAUAUACACAAAGUAUUCAAAGUAGUAACUCUGAAAGUGUAUAUUAAAAAAAUUUAUAUGUGGGAAGUGGAGAAGGUGAAAGCUUAAUUAUAGUUACCCAAUUGGAGACUCCAUAAAAUAAGAUGUUGUACAUGUUAAAUCUGUUGUGUGACAAGAAUCUGUAGAAAAUUAUGUAAU